CCUACGGGCGGCAGCAGUGAGGAAUAUUGGUCAAUGGACGGAAGUCUGAACCAGCCAUGCCGCGUGCAGGAAGACGGCUCUAUGAGUUGUAAACUGCUUUUGUACAAGGGUAAACCUGAAUACGUGUAUUCAGCUGAAAGUACUGUACGAAUAAGGAUCGGCUAACUCCGUGCCAGCAGCCGCGGUAAUACGGAGGAUCCAAGCGUUAUCCGGAUUUAUUGGGUUUAAAGGGUGCGUAGGCGGAUGGAUAAGUUAGAGGUGAAAUGUCCGGGCUUAACUUGGGAACUGCCUCUAAUACUGUUCGGUUAGGGAGUAGAUGCGGUAGGCGGAAUGUAUGGGGUAGCGGGGAAAUGCUUAGAGAUCAUACAGAACACCGAUUGCGAAGGCAGCUUACCAAUCUAUAUCUGACGUUGAGGCACGAAAGCGUGGGGAGCAAACAGGAUUAGAUACCCCUGUAGUC
rnacentral:rRNA from 1 species